ACGUCCUGUUGAUGGAGCUGAGUUUGCUUUCAAUCCAAAGGAAGUCAAAUUGAACAAGAAAGGCUCUUCCCCAAAUAGCGCUGGUAAAUUGACUGAGUCUGAAAUCAGGGAUAAAAUCAAACGGAUUUCUCAAACACUAGCAAAUAAGGCAAUGAUUUCUAGAUUACCUGAUAGGGGAGAAAAACUACAGCAGCGGCUUGCCGAGCUAAAUUCGGAGCUCAGCAAAUUGAAGAUGGAAGAAAGAGAAGUGAUUGAUUUGGAUGAUAUAACUGGAGAAUUUCAAAGGGUAUUGAAUGUGUAGAUCAUUAUUAAGAGAACUUGAAAUUGAAUGGAUCGAGCCGUGCUCUGUUUUGGCUGCCUUGUAGACAGAAAAUUGCCAAAUGAUUACUUUCAUGUGGCAAGAUAAGGCAGUCUCUUGUGCAUUUUUGUCAAAGGUGGUGCAUUUUUUGGUCAGUUUUUGCUAUUCAAAAAGUGAAUAUAAUAUUUUGAUUUAUUCAAAACACCUUUAGUUA